rnacentral:lncRNA from 1 species
UCACUUUUGGCUAUGCAGUCCAUUGGCGCUGGGACAUUUAGAUGGGGCGUUGGGUUCAGGGGCCAUCUUCUGUGUGUUGUUCCUAUCGUCUUAGGCUGCGGAUGUGCUCACAGGUAUGAAUCCCUUUGUGCUCUCCCAUUUGCCUCUUGCUUUGAACAAUGUUCAUCAUAAUUUCAUUAACCAAUUUUUUUUCUGAAUGGAAGUACGCCUCUCCUUCUUAGUUUUUAGUACAGGGGGAAAACACAGUUCCUUCUUUCCUUCGUCCUUAAGGGAAAAAAGAAAUGGAGGCCGUUGGCCCAAAUUUGAGUGUCUUGCCCAUCCAUUGGGAGAUGAUGUACCCAAUUAGUGAAUAUGGCGUAUCAGAUUAAUUCGCUUGCCCAUCCAUGGCCAAAGCUUGGAGGAUAUCAUGCUGGUGGCCAUUUUUUGCCGAGACCUGGACAUGUGGUGCGUAUCAGGUGUCGCCCUCCUGCUGUCCUACUUCUACCAAAUAUAAGUUAUAUUGCAACCAUAUAAGUUUUUGUGAAGUUGAAUGAUGUAGAAAACAGAUAAGAUUUUAUCUUUCCAUUGCGAAACAACUUUUUGUGUGAAAUCAGAAAUCAUACCAUAACUUUCUGUGCGGAGAAGUGCAAUUAUACUUGUUCUCUGAAUUCUGCAGUAAAGAACACAGUAAAGCAAACAUAUGGAUCUGCUUGAAUAGAGUCUAACUAAACUUGGCAAGAGACCCUUGCAUCUAAUUAUUGUUUGACAGUAAAAAAAGGAGGUUUACAUGCACUUUCACUGAGCUAUGUAGCAAAACAUGAGCUUAAUGUGAGACAUGUAUUCGUGUAGCUGCAGGUUAAGUUUUCAAGUUCAGUGAUUUACGUUGCGUCUUAAUUACCACGUAGAGGCAGUGCUAUAUGCUGAACACACACAAUGUUAUAUGGUGCACACACAAAUGCAAUCUAAUAAAAUCUUAUAAAAUCUUGUCAUCUAAUGAGAUUUCUAAGAAUCAUGUUUAUCAGAGUGGUUAUUAUUCUUAAUUUGUAAUAAGAUUUUAAAACUUUUGGCCAUGUGGAAAGUAGGCUACAUGUACACACUCUCUACGCAUGAAAUAAGUGUAUGGCAAUAGUACUAUGCAUUGUCAUGUUCUUAUUUGUUGCUUACGAAAUAAUAAGAAAUCCAAUCUAUAACAUCUUUUUGUAUACAGUGUUUCCGACCAUAUAUCAAACAUAUGGAUGUCACGCUUUUGAACCAUACAUUGUAUUGUUUAUAAUCAUUAUUAUUUGGCCCUCGUAUGCAUUUGUUUGAAUAACAAAGAAUUAGAAGAUCUCUUUGUAUACUAUAUUCUUUGCGCUAUCUUCGCUUGGGCACUCAUUGUCGUCGAUCAGCACCUUUAAUCCUUCUCUGUUUGUGACUCUUGAUAAUGCCACAUAUAGUUGUCCAUGGCAGAAGACUUGCUUAGGCAAAUAUAGGCUCACCUUGUUUAGGGAUUGACCUUGACUUUUAUUUAUCGUCAUUGCAAAACAAACUGAUAGAGGAUAUUGCCUUCUUUUCAGCACGAAGGGCCACUUCGAGUCUCUUGGUGACAUAAUGAUUUUAGGUAUGUAUACCUUGUCACCAACGUGUGUUCCUGUGAUUAUUUGUGCUUCAAUGUACCUGUUUCCCAGCUGUGUGAUAGUCAUUCUUGUGACAUUGCAUAAACCUGCCGCUUGAUUGAUGUUUCGUAGGAGCAUCACCGGCAAACCUACCUUCAGUUUAAGCUCGUGGUUUGGAAUUCCUGGGAAGGUCAUCUUGUUAAGGAACUCCGUUGGACACAUAUUCUCCAUUGUGUUGUACUUCAUUGUUGUCUUGCAUAUAGUGUCCAAGCUUAGGUAUGUCACCUCUUCACCUUGUAUUUCGCUCAUUGUGUAGUCAUUUAUCUUCUCAACUGUUUCAUUCCUUGGGCAUAGUAUUGCUCUUUCUUCGAGAAAUUCAUGGUCACAAUAGUUUUGUUGCAAGUUUGGGUACGUGCUUUUGACUAUCUCUUCUUUGGGGUCUUCUCCUUUAUGUAGAAUUAUGUCUUUAGGUAUUCUUACCCAAUCAUCUCCAUCAUCGUUUGUUUUUUUCCAUCGCCAAUUUGUAAUAUCCAUUCUGCAAAUUCAGCCACAUUUUGCCUUUGUAUUGGAUCUUCUGACAGGCACUUCAGCCGCAUGUUUUCAGUUAGUCUAAAUAUUUCGAAGUGCUUCCAUAGGUAUGACCUUUUGAUUGAGGCAUUUACUAUGUGCUCUCUCUUUCCCUUUGUUAUCAUUGGAAGUAUUUGUCUGAAGUUGCCUCCUAGCACAACUGUCAUACCACCAAAUGGCCUUUCGUCACUAUUUUGGUUUGUGAACCUUAGAAUAUCCCUAAGGCUUUUGUCUAGUGCCUCAAAGCAGUGUUUGUUUGUCAUAGGAGCCUCGUCCCACAGUAUCAGUGAGGUCUUCUUUACCAGUUCAGCCAAAUGUGAGCCUUGUUUUAUUUCACAUGUUGAUUCUUCUGUGAUAUUUAUUGGAAUGUGGAAUCUUGAGUGCGCUGUUCUUUCACCUUGGAGCAGCAAAGCUGCAAUGCCAGAUGAUGCUACCGCAAGCACUAUCUUUCCCUCUGAUCGUAGCUUCGUUGUAAUUGCUUUCCAUAGAUAGGUUUUCCCUGUGCCACCAUAGCCUUCUACAAAUAUCUAUUUUCCAAGUCCUCUCUCAGCUGAUUCCAUUAUUGCAUCAAAAGCCAUUUUCUGGUCGUGGUUAAGAUUGUUUAUUAUUAUUUGGUGCUCACUCUUUAGUGCCUCCAUGUCAUAGCUAAGUUCUUCGUUUAUCAUCCUGUUUCCAAGUUGUUCAAGUUUUGUAGCAUUUGGUAGUUCUAUGUCUGGAUAGUCCUUUAGUGUCUUUCCUGCUUGCCUCAUUAGUUUCUCUAUCUCAAUCAAAGCAUAUGCUUUUUUCUGUGAAUCAGUAAGCUGCAGCGUAGGAAAGUUUAGGAUAAUUCUUCUUUUGUACUGGAUAUCUUCAGACAGUGCCUCCCAUGUUGAAUCCCACAACAUCUUUGGGCUGGUCACCUCACAAUGGCAUAAAAUUGUGGUGAAUAGUUGUCGUAACUGUGUCCCUGAUCCCCAGCUUGAUGCUUCAUUGAUGCAUUCAAUCCACUCACCAUCGUCAUCAAGAAAUCCAAGCGCUUGGCAUGCUGAUUUGUAUGUUGGGUGAACAACUCCAUUAACUGUUCUAAUAUCCUCAAAUGAUGUGCAUCCUUUCUUGGUGUUUAGAAGCAUUCUCAUAUAAUACCGGUCGCCACUUGCAGGGUGUGCAUAGUAGAUUCUUCCAAUCGCAAAGCCCCUUUUCCGCUCCUCCCAAGUUUUGCUUUCACUUUUCCAUACAAAUUUUGAUGGGAAUACUGCAUAGGUUAAUUCUUUUCCCACCUCAUGUAUUUUGUUUGCCUCCAUCCACUCAGUGAACUUUGUACUUGUGGAUCCUGGUCUUCUUACUAUCUUCUCGAUGUCAGUCGAGUCCGGAAAAAUGACUUGUUGCUCAUUUUCAAUGUGGAAUGGCAGUCUCUCGACGGGUGGAUCACGAUGGUGAAGAUCAAACUGGAAUAUCCGCCAGCAUGCUUCGGUUGUUGAUAUGUAUCUCAUCUCUAGGUAUUUCCUGAUUUCAUCAUAAUCGUUUGCCGCAUCCCUUUCCUUUAGUAAGGCUGUUACUUGGUCGUCGUCUUUAUGGAUGUACUUAAAUAGGUACUUAAUUGACCUGGACCUGUUGCACCACUCGACAUUUAUGUGAGCUUGGAAUUUGACCAAAAGGUUUCUGUUGUAUGGCAUGACAAAUAUGUUGUCGAGCAUUGCUCCUCCCUUUUUAAUCUUCCUUCCAUUGUCUCGCCUUCUAUAUACUGGAAAGCCAUCCUCAUCGAUUGUGCUAUCGACAUUGUAUCCUUUUGGGAAGUGUUUACUACAUCUGUUCUCCAUCAUGCAUGGCGAUUUUGUAUUUGCCUCUCCGCAAGGCCCGUGCAUCAUGAAAUUCUCAACAGCUACAUAUCCAUCCGGAUCGACAUCUUUGUCUGGGAUCUCCACACUGAUUAUUUGGUCAAUUUCUGAUGGUCCUUUGCACUUGUAAUUAUCUUUGAGGAAUACCAGUAUGUGCGCAUGCGGGAGUCCCCUCUUCUGGAACUCUAUCACGUAGAUAACUGCAUUGAUUGAAUACAUAGUUUGGUUUUGUUACAUUUCAGAAGCAUUUUAUUAAAUAGACAAAGGCUAUAGUGUGCUAAAACUAUUAAAAAUUUAGAUGCUAUUAGUUGCGAUGAGUAGUCGACUGAUCUUACUUGCUAUCGUUUCUCCAAAGUGUUUCUUCACAAGAUGUCUCUCAUCAACUCCUUUAGUUUUAUCAUGAAUACUCGAUCAACAAUAUCUGGCCGGUCGGCUGGAUUUAAGCCUCCUCCUGCUUCAUCUAGCAUGUAUUGGAUCUCGGGCCACUUUGCAUUGCAUGUGAAUGUUAUAAACAGGUCUGGAUAUCCAGCCCAACGGCAUAUUGCAAAAGCGUCUUGCAAGUUCUGUGCCUUGUAUCUUCUGCCUCCUGUAAAAGAUGAAGGUACAAUUAUCCUCUUUCCAACCUGCUCUGUUCUGGUGUCCCCUCGCUCAAUCGCGUCUUGCAGUCCACUAUAAAGUUCAGUUCGUAACUUCCCUUGAUUAUUCCUGAUCUAGUUUAGUCUGUUUUGCUCAAUGCAUGUGUAAACAUCUACCCAAAAUUGCAGCGAUAGAUGUCUAGACGUUAGCAGUGACAUUCCUUGGUCAGGUCUUUGCAGUAGGUAGUAUGCGUAGUAGUCCAGCAUAGUUACAUAUUUCCUGCUUUUGUCACCUUCUUUUCUUCGCUUGUAAGGUAUUUCAAGCUUGAAGCCGUCUUCUCCGUAUGGAAACAACAUCAGGUAUUGCAUCGACAUGAACUUUGGAUGGAUUUCUGAUAUUCUGUGAGGUUCCAUAUUUUUGUACUCGACAACGUUGUCUCGUCCUUCGCUCUCUCCAGUUGGAUCUCUUACAACCAAUGCUGCAACUUCCUAUGCAGAUGGAAGGUUGUGUGUUCCGUUCCUUUUCCCAAGUAUCUGAAGUGUGUAAUCGUGGUAGUCUUCUUCUUUGAAUCUAUCUCUUGCCAUUCUGAAAGAUUUCGCGAGGAUGUUGUUCUCAUCAAGCAUAUUUUGUAGUUUUUCGACAAUGGCAGUGUUCACCGUUGAUUUUUUAUCAUUGCAUCUUGAAGCAUCUAUCCUGUUUUGAACCUCAUUUUCUGUCUGAUAGAUGUAUAGCUGGGCGAAUCGAGGUUUGUUACCUUCUUCAGGUAGUAGACUUCCGAUACGGUGGUAGUUCUGGCCAUGCAGUCUAAAAACAUAUGGUCCUUUGCCUUCGUUUAUUUCUUUGUCAACAGCUCCUCCCAUUGAUGUGAAUGAGAACAUUGAGUUGUAUGACCUGAUGUUUUCUUUGAAGUUUGUUGCAUCACUUCCUUCACCUGUUAAUAGUCCUGCGAGGUAAGGUGGAGGAUAUGCUAUCUUUGGUAGGUCAAUCUUACCUUGUUUACAGCAAAUUCUGAAAGAAGGUUUUUUGGUUCCUUUAUGAGAAUUUAAUCUUUCCUCACACCAUAGUAUUGCAUUGAAAUGUUCGCAUCUAUAUGUUGGCUUUCCAAAGUUCCAUAUCGUGCUAUCAUAACUUCUGGACGUAGUGCUGCUGCUUGUUUCUAUGAUGUUGCUUUGAAGGUCAUUGUCCCUCCCAUUUCUCCUUGAACGCUUGACAUCUCUUAUUUCAUUGAUUUGUUCCUUUCUCUUCCGUGAAGCAUCUUCUUCUAUUUUAUUGGUUGUUUCAUGUGUAUUCCUGCAUCUCUUACUCCUUUUUUCUUGUAGUUGUUGUUUCCUCCUGAUAAUAGCUUCUUUAGCUUCUUUUGCAAGUGGGCCUGCUGAUUUUGAUGUAUACUGUCCCUUCAUUUCUGCAUUUGAUAUUCUUUUAGCAAUAUAGUAUCAAAUAUUUGAAAGGUACUUUAUGCACAAUGUCAUAAACAAAACAAUGUAUGCACUAAAUAAGAGAUGCUGGCUGCAUGUAGAAACAACCUAUAAUUCUUAUCAAUCAUGCUUUUCAGGAUUGUUGUGUUGCGUGGUUCGAGCUGCAGUGUAUGGCAUUAUUGGUGUGACAGUGUGGUUGUUUCUCAGUGCACGACAAUUGCUCCAUGGGAAUUACUACGGCGAAGUACUCUCAAAGUCAUUUUUAGCACUACACGUAAAAUUAUUUGGUUUUGUAAUAUUUACAAAGGGAAAUCUUUCAAAUGUAUAUUUUAGAGAAGUACAAAAAAUUAGUCAUUACAUGAAGAUAUAAAAAGGUGAAUGAUAUACCUGAUAGUGUCUUCUUGCCUUGGUUUUUAAAAUUUGUAAAGCUUCACACGCUUCUGCUAAUAAAUUAUUGUCACAAUUGUAUCUUUGCUGCAAAGCAAAUCCUGUACUGAUCCUGGAAAGUAUUUCGUGUGAUGUACAAAAUUAUUAGAGCAUAUCUUUCUAUUGCUGCCAUGAUUUUAUCAGUCUGUAUGUCACUUUUAGUUCAUCACAGAAGCUAGUACUGUUUUCUAAAAGAAAAUAGAGCUUAUGUGAAGAGCCAAGGCAUGACGUGUGAGAAUAGCUUAU